rnacentral:lncRNA from 1 species
UGUACUAUUAAUAUUUAAUUUUUUAUUUAUUUUUUUCUUUUUUAAAGCUUCAAAUGGCUCCUUUUAAACUGCACCUCUUCAACAAAUUUCCCACUUUGGUGCAAGACCAUUCUAUGGUUAUCUUCAAUUUUAGCAGGCUGUGCUGGGGUCAGAUGUCCAGAAGGGAACAUUUCUAGCUAUAUCUUCAUUCUCAAGGAGAGUACCACUGUGGGCAUGCAUUUGCAGCUUGGAGCAGUAGCUGCUAAGAACCUGUUAGUUACAGCAUGUGACUGGGGAAGGAGCAUUACCACAGAUUACCUCUAGUCUAUUUUCAUGACCCCCUGUCAUGAACUGACAUGCAUAAGUACACUGCUGGAGUGUAUUUCCCACAUAGCUGCAUCUGGGAGGAAUCUAAUACUCUCCAAGAGCCAACCACAGUGCAGUGAAUGGGAAAACUGAAAGACUCACUUUAAAAAGAUAAGCCCCAUCUCAACUAAAAUGCUGGCCUAGUUUCACCCACUGAAUACAGCAGGCUUAGGAUCACUCCUCACAAGCAGUCAUGAAUUUUUCUUUCCUUCAAAACUGAGUUAGGAAAGAAUGACGUACUACUUAAGCAUGAAACCGGUGUGAACUUUCUGUGCAGAAAACAUAAUCAAGUGUGUAGUAACUUAUCUUCUUGACUGCAUGUUACUCUUAGCUGGGGAAACAUGGAAAAUUGUCUAUAUGGGCCACAUAGUCACUUUAGAUCUCUCAAUCUGUGAUGCAAAAAAAAACCACCAACAAAAACACUGUGUGUUUUAAAAACUAGAGAAAUUGUGGUCUAAUACAGGAAGGCUGUCUUUGUCCUCUAAAAGAUGAGCAGGAAUAAUUGAAUCAUUUUUGCCUUUCUUUUUGCUACUCCAAAACCUUCCUGCUGCAUAUGUAGCUUGUACUCCACAGCAUACAGUCAGCUGCAAGGCAGUAAAACCAAUUCUCUUUACAGAAAGACCCCAUUUCCCUUCCCAAAUACAAAUUUCAUUCCUUUAUUUCUGUUCAC